AUCGCUUCUCAGCCUUUUGGCUAAGAUCAAGUGUAGUAUCUGUUCUUAUCAGUUUAAUAUAUGUAUAUGCAUUUUUCAACAUCAUAAAAUAGAAUGAAUAAAUUAUU
rnacentral:snRNA from 1 species